rnacentral:rRNA from 1 species
UACGGCCAUAGAAGUGAGAAAGUGCCGUAUCCCGUCAGAUCUGCGAAGCCAAGCUCGCUAUCGCUCGGUUAGUACCAAGGUCGGGGACGACUUGGGAAUCCCGAGUGCUGUAGUU